CACUUCGGCAGGUUGAAAUAUGUACAUGUGAGUGUGGACACCUUUUCCGGGGCAGUCUUCGCUUCUGCCCACACAGGGGAGAAGACCAAGGACGUGGGCAGAUUGGAAGAG